UACGAAGGGUGCAAACGUUGCUCGGAAUUAUUGGGCGUAAAGCGCACGUAGGCGGCUUAGCAAGUCGGAUGUGAAAUCCCUCGGCUCAACCAAGGAAGUGCAUCCGAAACUGCAGUGCUUGAGUACUUAAGAGGAUCGCGGAAUUCCCGGUGUAGAGGUGAAAUUCGUAGAUAUCGGGAGGAACACCAGUGGCGAAGGCGGCCAACUGGUCCGGUACUGACGCUGAGGUGCGAAAGCGUGGGGAGCAAACAGG
rnacentral:rRNA from 1 species